rnacentral:sRNA from 1 species
GGGAGCUGGGACUUGUGACUAUGCCAGGUCCUGGGAGAAGGAACCUAACUCUCCAGGGCUUUGAGCCCAAGCCCAGGCUGAAUGGUUCCUCCCUUGGCCGCUCUAUCAGCUGCAGCUUCGCAUUGACCUAGGGCCAGCGUUUCACACACUCCCAUGGCUGUCCCCUGCUCUCUGAUGACAGCAAGCAUGGCAGGGGCUGGCCACCCCUGAGCUGGAGGUUUGGUGGUCAUCCAGGCAGUCGGCCCCACAGAAUCAUGAGAGAUGGACAAGGACUCAAGAGAAAAGCUAUCUAGGAGACAGAAUUUAUCUCAAGGAGGAAGCAGCAAUAAUGAGAGACACCCAGGGAGCGAGGCACACAGAACUCUGAAGACAAAAACCAGAUGCGUGGCCUCCGGAGCUGUGGAGCAGGAGAUGGUGAGCCCCAGCUUGAGCUCACAGAGAUGCUCUUGCCGCCUCUGUUCAUCCUCAACAUCCUAGGAGCGUUUGCGGUUUCCUGUCUGGAUGUGCACCUGGGGACAGGCAGGAAGCUGCAGAGAGCCUCGAGGAAGAGUGGUAAGGAAGCAGUUCCCCAUGUGGGUCGGGGCCAGCAGCUCCUGGCUCUGCCAAGGGAGGGACUGGGGUAAUGAAAGGAGUGGGGUGUGGGUCGAAACAGUGUGUGAGCCACACACAUGAGGCCACAUGUGAACUACACAAAAUGUCCAGAGUGAGGGGAUGUACUGAAAUGAAGUCUGGUACUGUAUUAGUCAGCUAACCCAUUGCAAGGAAGGGGAAAUUGUUCUGGUUCACAGUUUGAUGGCGCAGUCCAUCACGCUGGAAAGACGAGACCGAAGGCACGGAGGCAGCUGCCCACAUUGCUUCCGGUCAGGAAGCAGCAAGAGAUGAACACUGGUGCUCAGUUCGCUUUCUCCUCUUUGUUCAGUGUGCACACCAGCCCAUGGGAUGGUGCUGCCCACAUCUAGAGCAAAUAGUCACAACUCAAUUAACUGAAUCUGGAGCUUCCCUCACAGACAUGUUCAAAGACUCCAAGACAAUCCUAGAUCAUGUCAAGUUGGCAACUAUAUUCACCAUCGCAGGAGUCAUUGGGGGCUGGUGCUGUAGGGGUGGGAAGUGAUGAUGUAAUGGGACUAGGAAGUGAUGGUGUAAGGGGACUGGUAAGUGAUGAUGUAACAGGACUGGGAAGUGAUGGUGUAAAAGGGGACUGGGAAGUGAUGAUAUAAUGGGACUGGGAAGUGAUGAUGUAGCAGGACUGGGAAGUGAUGAUGUAAGAGGACUGGGAAGUGAUGAUGUAACAGGACUGGGGAGUGAUGAUGUAAGGGGACUGGGAAGUGAAGAUGUUUCCUUUUGGGGUGAUGAGGUUUGAGGGCUUCAUGGAGUGCAUGUGACCUCAUCAUGGGCUUUGAAAUGGUUAAUUUUAAGUAGUGGCAACUUCACCUUAAGUUUUGGAAAAGUAUAAGAGAUGUUGGUAAGGCCUCCUGUCUGCUUAGUAGGAGGAAACAUAGGUGGAAGCUCACUGUCUGCAGUAACCCUGACCUGACAAGUGGUGUGCUGGGCCC